rnacentral:lncRNA from 1 species
AAAAAAAGGUGUAAAAGAUACAGAGGGACUCUACAAGAGAAAACUAAAGAAGUCCCCAAACCCUCUAGAGACGUAGCAACAUCAUGACUCUUGACUCUUUGAUAAAGAUGGAAUUUUUUAAUCUGGUAAAUUGAAGGGUGGUAGAAAGUACAAAAUGUCAUAGGGCAUGGGUAAUGAAUGGAAUAUUGAGAAACAUCUCACAAUCGUAUACGCGGGAGGCAGAGACUCAGGGUGUUCUUCAGGCUUGCUUGGUUUCGACUGGCUAUGUGACUGACUUCUUCUUCCUAAUGCGAAGUCAACAAAAUAGCAGAAUCCGUGCAUACACCCUUCCAAGCCAUCCGGCCUCCAGGAGACUCCUCCACACACACACACACACCCACCAGACCUCCCUCCCCCGACACACACACACAUUUUCUUUCCUGGUCUGUCAGAAGGGCAGGUUCUUGGGUAAGGACAGAGUCCUGAAUGACAGGGGUGAAGCCUCUCCCAUUAGGCUGCAGGGCACCAUGGGUUGACUACGGAGCAGAUUGUAUUAUAUUGAGUUACUGACCAUGUUGAGAGUGUUUAUUACAGAGAUUGAACUACUGUGAGUAAUACACAGGUUACUAUGAACAGUUUACGUUUUUAACUUGAGAUUUUUUUAGAUCAUUGAGAUAGCGAUUUGACUCACAAAAAUAUUUCUCACAGAUCAAGAGUCCAAAGGCGAAAAUGCUGAAAUGAAGAUUAGAAUGCAGGAAAGUUAUAUGGAAGUGGCUUUUGGAUCAGUAUCUAUGGAUUAGUGCAAGCAGCAGGAUCAGACUGCAGUCCAACAGUGCCUCAGUGGGGACAAACGCCUCUGCCAGCUCCAAGGGAACUUUAGAGGGCAGAGAUCUAUUUAUGGUCCUAAGAGACUACUGAGGCCAAUGAGUUUGAGAAGAAUGUUAAUAUCAAGACAACAGAAGAUACUAAUGAAGCAAGAGAAUCCUGUUGGAGACAACAAAGAACACUUCUGCAAGGAAGGGCCGGUUAUGGCAACUGCAAUCAGCUCUAAGGGUCUACCAUCAAAUGGUUACCCAUUUGGUGAUGAUAAUCAAGUUCUACAGCGAAUCACUUGGACACCAAUAAAAAGUCAAAGGACCAAAAUGGAUGCAUUGAGUAUCUUAAAACUUGAUCAUAUUAAUACAUUUAAAAGGAAG